ACAUGCAAGUCGAACGGUAACAGAGGAGCUUGCUCUUGCUGACGAGUGGCGAACGGGUGCGUAACGCGUAUGCAACCUACCUCUUAUUAAGGGAUAGCUCAAAGAAAUUUGAAUUAAUACCUUAUAAUAUCUUAAAGCCGCAUGGUUUAAAGAUUAAAGAACUUCGAUAAGAGAUGGGCAUGCGUGAUAUUAGCUAGUUGGUAAGGUAACGGCUUACCAAGGCAACGAUAUCUAGGGGGUCUGAGAGGAUGAUCCCCCACACUGGUACUGAGACACGGACCAGACUCCUACGGGAGGCAGCAGUGAGGAAUAUUGGACAAUGGGCGCAAGCCUGAUCCAGCCAUGCCGCGUGAAGGAUGAAUGCCCUAUGGGUUGUAAACUUCUUUUAUACAGGAAGAAACCUUUGGAUUUAUCCAGAGCUGACAUUACUGUACGAAUAAGCAUCGGCUAACUCCGUGCCAGCAGCCGCGGUAAUACGGAGGAUGCAAGCGUUAUCCGGAUUUAUUGGGUUUAAAGGGUCCGUAGGCGGAACUUUAAGUCAGUGGUGAAAGCCUACAGCUCAACUGUAGAACUGCCAUUGAUACUGAAGUUCUUGAAUAUAUAUGAAGUGGGCGGAAUGCGUCAUGUAGCGGUGAAAUGCACAGAUAUGACGCAGAACACCAAUUGCGAAGGCAGCUCACUAAUGUAUUAUUGACGCUGAGGGACGAAAGCAUGGGGAGCGAACAGGAUUAGAUACCCUGGUAGUCCAUGCCGUAAACGAUGAUUACUCGGUAUUAGUCUGACUAGUGCCUAAGCGAAAGUGAUAAGUAAUCCACCUGGGGAGUACGCUCGCAAGAGUGAAACUCAAAGGAAU
rnacentral:rRNA from 1 species